rnacentral:rRNA from 1 species
UACGUAGGGUGCGAGCGUUGUCCGGAAUUAUUGGGCGUAAAGAGCUUGUAGGCGGUUUGUCGCGUCUGCUGUGAAAAUCCGGGGCUCAACCCCGGACUUGCAGUGGGUACGGGCAGACUAGAGUGUGGUAGGGGAGACUGGAAUUCCUGGUGUAGCGGUGAAAUGCGCAGAUAUCAGGAGGAACACCGAUGGCGAAGGCAGGUCUCUGGGCCACUACUGACGCUGAGAAGCGAAAGCAUGGGGAGCGAACAGGAUAG